GAAUGACUGGAGAGGUUUUGCAACAGGGCCAAGAUCUCACAGUGUUCCUCUCUUUAAGUGGGGUCUAGGAGAAACCCAGAUUUCCCUCAACAGAUAAUCAUUGUAACUAUCAAUGGCACGCCCGGAAGCUAUGCUGUCAUUCUGAAUAGAUCUGUUUGACUUAUCACUUAAAAGUAAGUGUUUUCACACAUUAAAACAGAAAUUCAGAUUUUAAUUAACCCAGUGAAUUUGCCUGAAAAUAUGCUCCCUGGAACACAACUAAGUCGUGCUUAUGAUAAAGAUGUGGCUGGAAAGGGAGAUGUCUACCGUUUUCUGAAUAAAACAUAAGAUUUUGCCAUCGAUGCAAGUUCUGGUGUAAUCACUGCUACCAAAAUUUUUAAUUAUGAAACAGAUCCAAUAAGGUUUCUUCUGAUAGUUGAUACUGGGAGGCUCUAUAGACAUGAUUUGACCAUUAAUAUUAUUGAUGUUCCCGAAUCUCCAAACUGUACUGCUGAUCCCAAAUUUUCUUCAGGCACAGUUGGAGAGAAUGAAGAAACAAAAUCAUAUGGGAUUGCAAGAGUUGGGUCUGCUGGAUUUCUUUUUAAAGGGAGACAUGAGUAAUUUUACAACAUGGAGAAUCCAUUUGAUGAGGAGGCUGAAGACAAAUAAAGUUUUCCACCUUGUACUGAAAGCAACAGAUACAACAGGCCAUUUCCUUUGGAUUCUAUUAAUGUGACUGAGAAGAAAUCUGUUGGAGAAAUUAUAGCAAGAGUAAAAGCAACAGAUCGAGAUGAAGAUAGCAGUAUCAUUUAUUCCUUUAAGACUCAGCAGAAAAUGUUUGGUUUGGACCCCUUCACAGGAACAAUCACUCUUCUUCAGCCUUUGAAUCUUGACAACCCAAGUAACUCCAAAAUCUACUCUUUGGAAACUGAGGCAACAGAUAAUGGGAAUAAUACCAGCAGCUAUAUGUUUACAGUUUUUGUGGAGAAUGUAGAUGAUCCUAUUUCCUGUGAUCCAAGUUUUUUAACAGGAGCAGUCUUCCAAAAUUAUAGUAACCUUUAAAAAGAUACACGUGGAUCUCAAGAAGGUCAUUUUGACCCGAUUUCUACUACAAGCUUGGCUGAACCAGCAUAAACUGCUAGAGCAGUACCAAGAUCGGGAUGUCUUCCUCUUCCGUCAUCUGGGCUGUGGGCCUUGGGACAUAAGAGAAGCGAGGACAAGAAGUCACUUUCUGUUUAAAGUAGGGCAACUCUGUGGGUCUCUGUGACCAAGAAUUACCAAAGACAUUGACAUGAUUUUCAAGCUGCUGAUUUGACACACACGUAUUCAAUUCAUUUACUGGGUUUAAUUAUCCAGUUGCUAUAAUUAACCAGAACAAAUCACUAAAUGAGAGAAUCUGCCUACACAUGUUCAGUUUGAAACAAAGGUUCAAAAUAAGCAAGUCCUAGUCGCACCAAAGUUGUUCUAUAACAUCCUUAGAAAGUCCUGUAAAGAGACCCUUACAGGACUACCCAGUCUAGAUUGUGAUACAAUAUUCACUGGAUUUGAUAUCCAAGAUUCAGCUGCACAGUAAACAUUAAGCCUUUUUUCUUUUAAAAAAAAAGUAUUUGUAGAAUCACAUAACAGGUAAAGAAACUAUCAGUAGUCUAAAUGUGCAUUUAUGUUAUUUGAUUUUGGGAUUACACAGAAUCAUAGUUGGUAGCAUUGGAAAGAGGAUGAGGGGCUAUGGUUGGAAAAAGGCAAGUAGCAUUUGUUGAGCAUUUGAGAGUUGUGUUAUGUAUAGUAUUCUAUUUAAUCUCCAAAACUACUCUAAGAUUGGAGAAGUACUUUAUCCCCAUUGUACAGGUGAGAAUAGUGAUGGAGCAGGAAUUCAAGUGCAUUUCUUCCUGUCUUCACAGGCUGUGCUCUACUUUUUUGUACAUGAUUGUGAAAGGAGACAAAAAGCUUCAAUAUCCUAAUAUAAAAGAAUAAAAGUAGAAAUCAUAUCUUAGUGGCCAUUGACUUUGAGCAAUUAUAUCACAUUCUAUACAGUAGCCCAAAGUUUAAAGGUAUGAAUAUCAACCUGAAUUAUGAUGGCUCUUUUAAAUGUUGAUGUUAAUGGGAGUAAGUAUUUGUAGGGGUUUUUUGUUUCUCUGAAACAAAUAUGAAGAAGAUCAUUUUAAGGAAAAUACAGCAUGGUAAUUUACGGUACCAGCAUGAAGCAAGAAGUGAAAGAAAGACAUUUGAAUUUAAAUUAUUGUUCAUGAUUGUGUAAUUGUAUAGGUGUUUCAGUGUCUGUUCCUGAAAACAUUCCUGCAUCUACUUUUAUAUGUAUGAUUCUUUCAAGAGAUCCAGAUCUAGGACAGGAAGUUGAAGUAAGAUUUUUUAUUUUCAUCUAUUUAUUUUUGCCCAACUUGGAUGAGAAAAAAAACCCAAAAGAGUGCUCAAUUUUUAAUGCACAAAAUAUUAUUUUGCCAGGCUGUUAAUUAAAGUGUUCUUUAUGUGUAUGGUAGUCACUGAAGUGAGAGAGGAGACUUAAACCUUUGGAAGUAGUAACAUAGAAUUAAAAUGCUCUGGCUUCAAAAUGAAAGAAACAAGAUUUCAAAUGGUCUGAAAGCAUUGUGAAAAAACUAGAGCUUACAUCUAUUGGCAUUUAUCUGAUGACAUUUACGAGCAUGAAUAGAAUGUUCUUUCAUUGUUCAUUGCCUUUUAUUCAUCCCAAUCAGGCAUAUUUUCUUUAUUAUACAUACAAUGUGAGUAAAGGAUAUUUUAGGCCUUCAUAUUAAUUCUGGUUUUAGCAAUAAUUCAUAAAGAGGAGAGAAUAAAUUUUAGGUGACAAAACGGUUACAGCUUAAGUGGGGGUAAAGAAGAAAUUUAAGAUAAUUCAUCACUGUGUAUUUUCUCAGAAAUUUUUCUGGUAUACAUAUGACCUUUAAUCUAAUUAUAUUUGUAAGAAAAAAAUUGUUUUCUUGAUGAUGCAAUAUAUCAUAAAUCUGAUUAAUACACUGGAAUACUCUGCCCGAAAUUUAGUGAGUCAAAUUCUCCAUAGAAGAGACUAACUUUUUUUUCUGUUUGUUCAUGCUUGCUAUAAAGAUACACAUAAAUAUCACUUGGGAAUAUGGUUGAAACUAAAGUUUGGGAGAAAGCUCUGUGGAGAAUUUAGUCUAUAUAUAAUUUUUCUGGUUACCUGAUUAUAAUGAGAUAUUGAUUAAUCCACUUGAUUACAUUUUUUGCUCAUGUGAAUUUCAGACUGAGGACAGAUUACAACACAGGAACAAUGUAAUUCCUGGUAUAUCAGGUUCAGCUCAUCUAUUUGUGUGAAUGUGUUAGUGUGUGUGUUGGGAGGAUAGAGUUAGGAUAUUGGGGUACGUGGGUGUGUGCAUUUAAACUAGAAUAUGUCCAUAUGUGUGAAGGAUGGGUGUCUACAAAAGUAUCCAUUACAAUUAUGUGCUUACAUGCAUAGUUUCCAUUACCAAAAAUUAAUGUAAUAUCUAGAUUUUAUUGUAAAAGUCAUUAGGAAAGAGAAAACAAACAUUUGGAAAAUGAUGAUGUUUAACAAAUCUAAAACCAUAAUAAUGGGGGAAAACAAAGAGAUUAUUUUCAUAAGGACAUUUAAGAGGAUUUUAGUCUAAUAUAAGCCAACUUUUGUUGUUCACUUACAGGCAAAUGAAAGAUGGUUAAUAUGACCAUCAAAAUGGCUAUUAUGCAUUCUUUGGAAAUGGCAUUGGGUAUCAGAUCUCCCAGGUUUUAUUGGAGGGUUUUUUUGAGCUGGAAUCUGGAUGUGAGUGUUUAUAAUAUAAUUUCUUUUCUUUAUGAAAUCCUUUUCAAAAUCUUUAAUAUUUGUCUUGAUAACAAUGGAGAGAAACAUGCCGAUGCCCAUAAACAUAAUAGCUUUGUCCAAGGCAAUAUUUUAUUUUUGCCAUACAGAAAAUCAAUUCAGAGAUGAAAUCAAACGGCUUCUUCCAAAUAAUUCAGUGCAUGUGCCUCCUUUAGAUAUACUUCCUGAGUAUUCAAGAGGGAACAGCUUUUUUUUUAUAUUGGAAAAAUCUGUAAAUGCAACACUAGAAAGUAAACUAACUAUGAAAUUAUUGAAAGCUAUUCACCAAAAAUGCUCUAAUAUUUUAGUAUAAAAUGCAUUGGAAAAAAAUACAACUAAAAUGUGAAAGAAUAUAUAGAUUAUUUUUGAAGUCUGGAACUGAAAGUAAGUUCAGAUUUUAAUUUAUAGGCAGUCUUUGCAAAAUUUAUUUUGGUUUACAUCUUGCCAAAUCGUUGCAUCAAAGCUGUCAGUUCAGAAUUCAUGCUUACUCAAUAAUGUAUUAACCAUGUUUGUGUGUGUAUGUGUGUGCUGCAGUUUUUAAUAUUAAAUUCUUCAAUUAAUGCCACUGCCUACUUUGUUUUGGAUUUGCAUAAUGG
rnacentral:sRNA from 1 species